GGGCGGGGCCCGGGAGGGCUCCGGGUGGCGGCGCUGGACAGCGACCCCGAAACGAACCUGGUCCUUAUGGGACGGGCCUGGAGCCUCUUGAAUUUGUGGGCACCACUGGUCGGCAGGGUCUAUGGAAAACAGGCCUGGGAUCCAAGGAAGCUGGGCUUGGAGAUGCACACCGUAAGCCCAGGACUUGGAAGGCUGGGGCAAGACGAUCACUAGAGCCCAGGAGUUUGAGGCCAGUCUGGACAACACAGUAACUCCCCAUCUCAAAAAGAAAAAUGAGGAAAUUGAGGCACAGAGAGGUUAAGUUGACCAAACUCUAGCGCCAGGAAAGAACAGAGCAGACAAAUCUGUUCUCAGUCCACGAGAUUUUAUGGAUGAAGAGGAUGAAGAUGAUGACUACUUGCCCACUAAUGUGACCUUUGCAUCCAAAGACGUCAGCCCUGUGGAUUUUACACUGAAGAAUAAUUAAUGUACAGGAUUGGGUUACAAGGGCCUGGAUCCCCACCAAGUACGGAUUGGAACUUCAAUAGAACAUUUGAAUCUUUUCAGUGGAGGAUCUGAGGGAGCCAGCAAUCUUCCUGGAGAAGUUGGACUAAAUAAAGGAAGACAAUUGGGAGUUUCAGGCUAGGUAAAAGUGUUUCUGCAUAUAAAGGUGGAACCACUGACAAGUGAAUAUAUUUUCUGUGUUUUAUCUGCACCACUCAUUCUUUGUUGAGUGAAUGAAGACUUUGAAGUGGUUAGGUUUUCCCAGCAUGUUUUCUGGAAGAUUUGUGAAGCACCUUCCUGAUUUUAAUAUAGGGUUCCUGAAAGCCUGGGCCCAUCUUCUUGGGGUUAUGUGUUGCCGAGAGUAAGGAUUGGUUUCUUACUUUUUUUUUUUGGUACUAGGGAUCAAACUCAGGACCUUGUGCUUGCAAAGUAGGCACCAGAACCACUGA